rnacentral:rRNA from 1 species
AAAGACUAGAGUGCGGGAAGAGGAUAGUGGAAUUCCUGGUGUAGCGGUGAAAUGCGUAGAUAUCAGGAGGAACACCGGUGGUGUAGACGGCUAUCUGGACCGUAACUGACGCUGAGACACGAAAGCGUGGGUAGCAAACAGGAUUAGAUACCGUGGUAGUCCACGCCCUAAACGAUGCAUAUUUGGUGUGGGCAGUUCAGUCUGUCCGUGCCGGAGCUAACGCGUUAAAUAUGCCGCCUGGGGAGUACAGUCGCAAGGCUGAAACUCAAAGGAAUUGACGGGGGCCCGCACAAGCGGUGGAGCAUGUGGUUCAAUUCGACGCAACGCGAAGAACCUUACCUGGGCUCGAACGGCUGGUUAACGCCGGUGGAAACAUCGGUACUCCGCAAGGAGGUCCAGUCGAGGUGCUGCAUGGCUGUCGUCAGCUCGUGUCGUGAGAUGUUGGGUUAAGUCCCGCAACGAGCGCAGCCCUUGUCCUGUGUUGCCAUCAUUCAGUUGGGAACUCGCAGGAGACCGCCAGCGAUAAGCUGGAGGAAGGUGGGGAUGACGUCAAGUCCUCAUGGCCUUUAUGUCCAGGGCUACACACGUGCUACAAUGGCCGGUACAAAGCGCCGCAAACCCGCGAGGGGGAGCCAAUCGCAAAAAACCGGUCUCAGUUCGGAUUGCAGGCUGCAACCCGCCUGCAUGAAGCUGGAAUCGCUAGUAAUGGCAGAUCAGCACGCUGCCGUGAAUACGUUCCCGGGCCUUGUACACACCGCCCGUCACACCACGAAAGUGGAUUGUACUAGAAGUCUGCGCGCUGACCCGCAAGGGAGGCAGCGGCCCAAGGUAUGAUUCAUGAUUGGGGUGAAGUCGUAACAAGGUAACC